rnacentral:rRNA from 1 species
CCCCAGACUCCUACGGGAGGCAGCAGUGGGGAAUAUUGCACAAUGGGGGAAACCCUGAUGCAGCGACGCCGCGUGAGCGAUGAAGUAUUUCGGUAUGUAAAGCUCUAUCAGCAGGGAAGAAGAUGACGGUACCUGACUAAGAAGCCCCGGCUAACUACGUGCCAGCAGCCGCGGUAAUACGUAGGGGGCAAGCGUUAUCCGGAUUUACUGGGUGUAAAGGGAGCGUAGACGGCGAUGCAAGCCAGAUGUGAAAGCCCGGGGCUCAACCCCGGGACUGCAUUUGGAACUGUGUGGCUGGAGUGUCGGAGAGGCAGGCGGAAUUCCUAGUGUAGCGGUGAAAUGCGUAGAUAUUAGGAGGAACACCAGUGGCGAAGGCGGCCUGCUGGACGAUGACUGACGGUGAGGCGCGAAAGCGUGGGGAGCAAACAGGAUUAGAUACCCCAGUA